UGGAUAUCGGGGCCUGUGGCUCCGAAUUGUAGUCUCGAAAUGCAAUGCCAUCGGGGGCGCAGAUUUAAGCCUCUUGGAAGAGAGCGCCGGCGAGGGUGAGAGUCCCGUUCGUCAAUUUGCAGUCCUCCGUACACGGCUUGCACUUGUUGAGUCACGUUCCUCGGGAUUGGAGCGCAAAUAGGGUGGUAAAUUUCAUCUAAAGCUAAAUAUAUGUUUGAGACCGAUAGCACACAAGUACCAUGAGGGAAAGAUGAAAAGGACUUUGAAAAGAGAGUUAAAAGUGCCUGAAAUUGCUGCAAGGGAAGCGGAUGGAACCAGUCCACGCGGUGAGAUUGUUGGGCGGAGGCGUGCGGGGUUGCACUUUCAACGAAAGUGGGGGUGUGAGUCUCAAUCGCCUUUCGCCUGAUGGUUCUUGCCGUGGGGGUCAUUGGUGAUUGGCAGCCGGGGAAACCUUCAAAGGCAUGGUAGCCCGUCUCCGGAUGGGUGAACGCGUUUGAUAGCACUCGGCCGCUGAUCAUAUCCGAGGUGUCCGGUAACUGGCGGCCUUGAGCGCAACGCGAGAACCAAUCGGUUCUUGCUGCGCGUUCGGCCGUAGGUCCUGACACACAUCUACGACCAAAUGGUUCUUUCC
rnacentral:rRNA from 1 species